rnacentral:rRNA from 1 species
UACGGGGGGGGCAAGCGUUGUUCGGAAUUACUGGGCGUAAAGGGCUCGUAGGCGGCCAACUAAGUCAGACGUGAAAUCCCUCGGCUUAACCGGGGAACUGCAUCUGAUACUGGAUGGCUUGAGUUCGGGAGAGGGAUGCGGAAUUCCAGGUGUAGCGGUGAAAUGCGUAGAUAUCGGGAGGAACACCAGUGGCGAAGGCGACUUCCUGGCCUGUUCUUGACGCUGAGGCGCGAAAGCUAGGGGAGCAAACGGG